rnacentral:lncRNA from 1 species
CUGAUUGGUUGCAGGUCUCGGGGGGGGGGGGCAGCUCCGCCCCUCUCCCGGAUGGCUGUAUUAACGCAGCGCGCAGCGGCUCGGUCUUUCGGUCCCGGCCUUGGUGGCCGAUCCACCCGAGCCGGUCCCCACUGCCCAGCCGUGCUGCUGCCUCGGACACAAGCGCAGGUUGAAAACUACAAGAAACCCGUGACUGAAUGGCUCCAAGGUGAAGUACUCUUGCAUGUAGUGACCAGGUUUGCCUGUAUUCCACUUUAGGAUUAGUAUCGAAGCUGAAAUAGGUGAAGUGAGGGCCAUGUGAGUUUCCUUGAAUGGCCUUGUAACUGAUUACCCUGAAGGUAGUUUGCUAAAGAUUUUAAUCAAUGUACUAGGAUCCUGCCCCACCCCUUCUUCAUGUCCCACUGCCCUAGAAUCAGAUCUGCAUGGCUAUGACAUGCUCGCCGUUUUAAAGAUGCAAAGAUUUCAUGCUAGAUCAUUAGAAUGUAUCUGGACUUCGUUAGGACAAGUUCUUUGCUAGUAACCAGUCACGUGCUAGCAAUUGAGGUGUGUUAACCUGUAUAUUGUUGCCUAUGAGUAAUUUUCCAUAAUCUUUAAUAAAGGCUUCCUGUGUCAAUUCUAUGGCU